UUUGGCAGUUAUAGAGCAGGUGUCCACCUCUAACCAUUCCGAACAGAGAAGUUAAGCCCUGUAUCGCCGAUGAUACUGCAACAAGUAUGUGGAAAAGUAGGUCGCUGCCAAGU
rnacentral:rRNA from 1 species